rnacentral:rRNA from 1 species
AUUGAACGCUGGCGGAAUGCUUUACACAUGCAAGUCGAACGGCAGCACGGGGCAACCUGGUGGCGAGUGGCGAACGGGUGAGUAAUGCAUCGGAACGUGCCCGGUCGUGGGGGAUAACGCAGCGAAAGCUGCGCUAAUACCGCAUACGAUCUGAGGAUGAAAGCGGGGGACCGUAAGGCCUCGCGCGAUCGGAGCGGCCGAUGUCAGAUUAGGUAGUUGGUGGGGUAAAGGCUCACCAAGCCGACGAUCCGUAGCGGGUCUGAGAGGAUGAUCCGCCACACUGGGACUGAGACACGGCCCAGACUCCUACGGGAGGCAGCAGUGGGGAAUUUUGGACAAUGGGCGAAAGCCUGACCCAGCGACGCCGCGUGGAGGAAGAAGGCCGUUCGGGUCGUAAACUCCUGUUUGGGGAGAGAACAAGAGAGAAGUUAAUAGCUUCUCUCUCUGACGUAUCCCCGGAGAAACGCUACCGGCUAAUUACGUGCCAGCAGCCGACGGUAAAGUAC